rnacentral:lncRNA from 1 species
AGAGUAGUCAUAUCAUAGUUACAGGCCUAAAGCAAAUGCAACAACAAGCAAAGCAAAGUAAAGCAACCUAAACAUAGACCUAGGAGAGAAAAGAGAAAAACACAAAUACUAAAGCUCGAAAGAUAAAAUCACUCCGUGUCCUCCUCCUCAUCAUCAUCAUCAUCGUCUCCUGCUCCAGCUCCAGAUUCCCCACUGGAUGGUGGAAUGAGUGGAUGUCUCGACGUAAACCUCGUGUAAGUGGUGUAGGU